AUGAGCUGUCAAGCCACAAAAAGACAUGGAAGGACCUUAAGUGACUAUAGCUAAGUGAAAGACGCUGACCUGAAAAGGCUAUAUACAGUAUGCUUCCAACUGCAUGACACUCUGGGAGAGGCAAAACUAUGGACAGUAAAAACAUAGGUGGUUGCCAGGGAUUGCUGGGAGGGGAGGGAUGAAUAGGUAUAGCAGGGGGGAUUUUUUAGAACAGUGGAACUAUCUUUCAUGAUGCUAGUGAUUGUGGAUACAUGGCAUUCUGCGUUGGUCAAAACCCAUAAAACUGUAGGAGUCUUACUGUAAAUUACAGGGUAUUAAUAACGUAUCAAUAUGCAUUCACCAAUUUUAACAAAUGUACCACACUAGGGCAAGGCGUGAAUGACGCGGAAACUGGGGCGGGGGGGCGGGGGGGUAAGGUGAGGGGGUAUAGGAGAACUCUCUGUACUUUCUGCCCAGUUUUUCUGUAAACCGGAAACUGCUCUAAGAAAUAAGGUCUGCAACAUACAUAUUUUUAAUGACAGCUGGUGGGGACUCCCUGGAUUGCAAAUCAGAGACCACGUGAUCUGUGUUCAAAGGACCCACCGAGGAGCCAGGGCGCCUUGCCCCUGCCCCGCAAUCGGUACCUUCCAGGACACUGCGACUGUCUUUCACUCAGGGGGCCUGCAGAACCUCAUCGUUCAGAGUGAUGCCCUGAGUGAUGAAGGUUCCCCUUCAUUUCCCACAGAGCUCGGUUCUUGUUUGAUUUUCCUCUACGGUGCGAAAGCAGUUAUCACUCAACCAUCUUGUCCCUUGGUUCUAAUACCGCCUUUAUUGCCUUAUUAUAAUCAGGAAAACAUUCUUAUUUUAAAAAGCUGUAUAUUCAAGUGAAAAUGUAUACGUAAGUAAAAGAAAGUAAAAUUAAAUAGAUCUAACGGGCAGAUCUGUAUUUUAGUAGACCUCCCCCCCAUCUCUCCCCAAAGUAAAAAACUCAAACUAUAUCUCCAAUCACCACAGCCCUAAAUGUACUGUUUGCAUUGUUAAAUGUCUAUGGAUUUAAAAAACAUAAAUAUUUUCAGAUUAAGCCCGGGAUGGUCAUAAUUAUCAAGGAUUGUUUGAAAUGUAUAUUUUCUAAAUCAUGGAGUUCCUUCCUUUACUGUGUGUGCUAUUAAAAAAAAAAAAAAAAAAGUUGUAGUUGAGAAUUAUAAUC